rnacentral:rRNA from 1 species
UACGAAGGGAGCUAGCGUUGUUCGGAAUCACUGGGCGUAAAGCGCACGUAGGCGGACGUGUCAGUCAGGGGUGAAAUCCCGGAGCUCAACUUCGGAACUGCCUUUGAUACAGCACGUCUUGAGUCCGGAAGAGGUGGGUGGAAUUCCUAGUGUAGAGGUGAAAUUCGUAGAUAUUAGGAAGAACACCGGUGGCGAAGGCGGCCCACUGGUCCAUUACUGACGCUGAGGUGCGAAAGCGUGGGGAGCAAACAGG